CCAGGAGAUUGGACUGUCGCGGUGUGUGUUAAAGCAUAUCGAGGAAAGUCCGGACAUCGCAGGGCAGGAUGCUGGUUAACGACCAGGCGGGGAAACCCGACGGAAAGUGCAACAGAAAGCAAACCGCCUAAGUUGACGAUAGCCCUAACGGGCCCAUCAUCAAACGGUAAGGAUGAAACGG
rnacentral:RNase_P_RNA from 1 species